UGACGGCCUUCGGGUUGUAAACCUCUUUCGGCAGGGACGAAGUGGACGUGACGGGACCUGCAGAAGAAGCGCCGGCCAACUACGUGCCCACCCGCCGAUAUAAUA
rnacentral:rRNA from 1 species